rnacentral:rRNA from 1 species
GACGAACGCUGGCGGCGUGCCUAACACAUGCAAGUCGAACGGAGAACAUCGUAGCAAUACUUUGUUCUUAGUGGCGAACGGGUGAGUAACGCGUUGGUGACCUGCCCCGAAGCGGGGGGAUAACAGUCCGAAAGGACUGCUAAUACCCCAUGUGGUCUCAGGGAUUAGAUGCCCUGAGUCUAAAGGAGUAAUCCACUUUGGGAGGGACCUGCGUCCCAUCAGCUAGUUGGUAAGGUAACGGCCUACCAAGGCUUCGACGGGUAGGGGGACCUGGAGAGGGUGGCCCCCCACGAAUGGAACUGGAAACACGGUCCAUACACCUACGGGAGGCUG